rnacentral:lncRNA from 13 species
GCCAGGGAGCCUCACAUUCUCCAUGAGAAGACAUGACUAACACAUCCGCACUUGGAGAGAAAUAUGCCAAAUUAGAUUACUAAUUAGAAACUAUAAACUACAGAAUAAUAAAGCGAUAAUUUAGCCAAGAGAGAAUAACGUGAAAUAAAUAAAAAAACAAAACAAAGGAAGAAAAAGCAGUAUAAUCUUUCACACCAGAACCAGCCUGCAGCCAGCCAGAUCCCCAGAG